UACGUAGGGGGCGAGCGUUGUCCGGAGUUACUGGGCGUAAAGCGCACGCAGGCGGUUCGGGGCGUUUCCGGUGCCAGCUCGUUGCUUAACGACGAGAGUGCCGGGAAGACGGUCGGACUUGAGGGCCUUAGAGGGACAUAGAAUUCCGGGUGGAGUGGUGAAAUGCGUAGAUAUCCGGAGGAAUACCAAAGGCGAAGGCAGUGUCCUGGGAGGUGACUGACGCUGAGGUGCGAAAGCCAGGGGAGCGAACGGG
rnacentral:rRNA from 1 species